UUCUUCCCUAGGUUAAAUUUGUAAACUAUUGGCUUGUGGGGCCAGAGAUCUGUGUGUGUUAGGGGAGGAAU
rnacentral:tRNA from 1 species